rnacentral:rRNA from 1 species
ACAAGUACCGUGAGGGAAAGUUGCAAAGCACUUUGAAGAGAGAGUUAAAGAGGACGUGAAACCGAUGAGGUGGAAGCGGAUAGAGCCAACGUAUCUGGCUUGCAUUCAGCCGGGCGGGUGGCGUCCGCCCUGCGAGUGGAACCCGCUUCUGGUCCGCUCGUGGGUGCUGGCCGUCGGCCGUCGGUGCAUUUGUGAGUGGAGUGCGCUGAGGUGUGCGCCACAGCGAUCCGAGACGCUCGCCAGAGGACUCCUCUUCGGGGGAGAAACCCGGCGACGUGGAGGACUGUUUGCGGCGCAUUCACCCAGGGCGGGAUGGCCUUUGCGAUCCGACGGCCAUCGCUUCGGCCCCACGGUGCCGGUCACAUGUGACACGGGCUGUGGGGCAGGAGUCGGUGGCUGGCGGAUCCCGUCCCGCCCGCAAUCUCGGCGUAAAAGUUGGUCAUCUCUCCGACCCGUCUUGAAACACGGACCAAGGAGUUUAGCCUAUGCGCGAGUCACUGGGUGGAAAACCCACAGGCGCAAUGAAAGUGAAGCCUCUCCUCGCGAGGGCGAUAUGCGAUCCGGUGGCCCUCGGGUCGCCGGCGCAGCAUAGCCCCGUCCCGAUCGCUUGCGAUGGGGCGGCGGAAGAGCGUAUGGGCUGAGACCCGAAAGAUGGUGAACUAUGCCUGAGCAGGACGAAGCCAGAGGAAACUCUGGUGGAAGUCCGAAGCGGUUCUGACGUGCAACUCGAUCGUCUGACUUGGGUAUAGGGGCGAAAGACUAAUCGAACCAUCUAGUAGCUGGUUCCUUCCGA